rnacentral:rRNA from 1 species
UACGUAGGGUGCGAGCGUUAAUCGGAAUUACUGGGCGUAAAGUGUGCGCAGGCGGCCGAGCAAGUCGAGUGUGAAAGCCCCGGGCUUAACUUGGGAAUUGCGCUCGAAACUACGUGGCUGGAGUGUGGCAGAGGAAGGUGGAAUUCCAGGUGUAGCGGUAAAAUGCGUAGAGAUCUGGAGGAACACCGAUGGCGAAGGCAGCCUUCUGGGCCAACACUGACGCUCAUGCACGAAAGCGUGGGGAGCAAACAGG